rnacentral:lncRNA from 1 species
AGGGUGUGGCUCUUUAAUCUUGUGGGAAACUUUUGGAUAGUACCAUAUGAAAUUUGUCAUUUUUCUGUUACCCCUAGAGUCUGAUCUGGGGGAAUGGGGAGAAAGAUGCUAAAUAGGAGACUCUGUCAUCACGCGCUGCGUCUGUCUGAGCCAGGAGAUUUAGUAGCUUCAAACUCCGCUCUGAAAAAGCUGUUUCCAUGUGUGUUCCUUGAUUAGACAAAGUUUUGCUUGUGAUUAGCAUGUUCU